GGGCGGCAGGGGGGCGAUGCUUAAUAUUUAAAUAGGGGAGCACGCCCAAUAAGCAAGGAGGAACAAAAAGGCAACAAAAUAAUCCGCCCACUCUCCCAUCCUCAGCUAGGAGAUGGCAGAAUGAGGUGAGUGCCAAGACUGCUAUGAAUAUUAUCAUCAUCUUUUCUUUCUUUGAACUCAGUGGUCUCAAAUGUCAAAGUGUGUAAGAAAUAGUAUACAGGGUUAGAGACACUUCUGGUUCUAGUAACGUGAUAGACUGAGUGAACACUGAAGUUGUCAAUUCUGAAUAUCUGAAAUACUGGAUUAAAUAUAACCAAGAACCAAAAAAAGGUUAAACCAUGGCUGGGCUCACACCCAAAAAAAGGUGAAUCCACAAAGAAGAGGAAACAGAAAGACGACUGUAAGCUGAAUGGCAGGGGAUGGGAGCAUGUCUGGGGCCUGGCACUGGGCUUUCAGGGCUAGGGUCUUGGGUGUUAAUGCCCAGUGGUGAGUCUGUAUAAGGCCUUUACAAAGCUUCUAUAGGAAAAAACAAACAGAUUUGAUUUCGGAUAGUAGUAAGAGUGAUGAAGACGACCCAGGGGGAUGGAGUGAUGUCUGACGGUGGGAGAUGAUCUUAGGGUGGCCAGGAAAGGCCUUUCUGAAGAAGUGAGAUUUGAAUUAAGAUCUGAAAGAUAAGAAACCAGUCAUGAGAAGAAUUGGGACUGGGGAGGCUGGGCGCUUUGGCUCACGCCUGUAAUCCCAGCACUUUGGGAGGCUGAGGCGGGUGGACCACGAGGUCAAGAGUUCAAGACCAGCCUGGCCAACAUGGCGAAACCCCAUCUCUACUAAAAAUACAGAAAUUAGCUGGACAUGGUGGCAUGUGCCUGUAAUCCCAGCUACUCAGGAGGCUGAGGCAGGAGAACUGCUUGAACAGGGACCCAGGAGGCGGAGAUUAGAGUGAACCGAGAUCGCACCACUGCACUCCAGUCUGGGCUACACAGUGAGACUCUGUCUCAAAAAAAAUAAACAGAAGAAUUGGGGGUUGGGGGUGGGAAACAGUGUUUCCAGGCAGAGAGAACAGCACGUACAAAGGAGACUGUUGGGAGGGUUAAAUGAAAUAAUUCAUGUAAGGUACUUAGUACCACACAUGAAUUUCACAAGCAGCAGCUGGGAUGGUGGUGAUGGUGAUGGUGAUGGUGAUGAUGAGGACUCACAGGCCAUAAUGCCUCAUGGUGUUAGCCAAUUAUUGUAUCCUCUACUGAAAAAACAGCCAUUGGAAGAAGGGACAGAGCAGGCUUUCUGCCUGGGCCAGUGUGGCCUACAGAGAUGCUCCAAAACAACUGGUGAUUAACUAGCACCACUGGGUCCCCCAAUUUGAGAAUAAGGGAGCAGCAAUGACUGAGGAAAAGCCAAGUGCGCUCAACAUGGCAGGGGCAGGAAAGCAGACGGGCCCAGCACCGCCUGGAUUCUUAACAGCUUGCUCAAUCUAGGCCAUAAUUUGCUUCUCUGUUUGCAAUCAGAGGAGACCAACCAGCAUACUUUCAUUUGACAGUCAGGCUUGGAAAGAAAAUGACUCAAUGUCACAGGGCCACCCUGUGGCACUGCUCAGAGCAGAGCCCAGGCCUCUGAACUUAGAUUCAUCCCUUCCGCUUCUCCAGUGGUCCACUUCCUCAUCCAAGGAUAGAACCCCCACUGAGCUAGAACUCGGGUCAACUGGCUCCAGACUCCCACUUAGAAGGCAGAGUAGCCACACCCCCUUCAACCAAACCAUGUAUUUUUUUUUCUUCCUUGAGACAGGGUCUCUGUCACCCAGGCUGGAGUGCAGUGGCGCAAUCUCGGCUCACUGCAACCUCCGCCUCCCGGGUUCAAGCAAUUCUUUCACCUCAGCCGCCCCAGUAGCUGGGACUACAGGCAUGUGCCACCACGCGCGGCUACUUUUUGUAUUUAAACCAAACCAUGUUCUAAAAGAAAAAUAAACCUACUGACUUGAACCCCAAAUACACUCAAAUGUUAGUUUUAAACUUAAGCAUACCUUGCAGAAUUGUCAAAGAAACACUCAGUGAACCUAUUUAAAUCAGAAUUUGACGUAUAUUUCCUGAGGUUCUAAAAUACAAUGAAGCAAAACACAAAAACUUUCAAACCUGAACUGAUCCUCAUUCUCUCCUAAGUCCUUAUUUCCUUGUCUAGUUAUGCCUAGGGAACAAUCUGUUGGAUUCACUUCAGGAAGAUAUCAGGAGAAGACAAGAGCAGAGCCAUUUGCUUUUCUCUUUCUCCCACUUCACGCAAAUGAAAACUGAUGGCAGAAGGUUGCAGAAAGAGAAGCCCAAAGCAUUCUGAGGCACAAAGUGAGUUUUCAUUUUGGGAAGAGGAGUGUGCCCAAGGCCUUGGGCAGCUGAAGUCAAUGGUGUUUAUCUUUGUGCAAUUCUGAACUUAAACCCAAUAAAUGAAGUACAUGAAAAGCACCAUAGGAAUUAAACAUUGUAUGGUUCAAAUUUCUUCGCU
rnacentral:lncRNA from 10 species